rnacentral:tRNA from 1 species
GCCCGGAUGGCGGAAUAGGUAGACGCGCUGGUCUCAAACACCAGUGGCAGCGAUGCUGUGCCGGUUCGAUCCCGGCUCCGGGUACUA